UGAGUAACCUGCCCUGGACUUUGGGAUAACCCUCGGAAACGUGGGCUAAUACCGGAUAUGACGGCUCACCGCAUGGUGUGGUUGUGGAAAGUUUUUCGGUCUGGGAUGGGCUCGCGGCCUAUCAGCUUGUUGGUGGGGUGAUGGCCUACCAAGGCGACGACGGGUAGCCGGCCUGAGAGGGCGACCGGCCACACUGGGACUGAGACACGGCCCAGACUCCUACGGGAGGCA
rnacentral:rRNA from 1 species